GAUGAAGAACGUAGCGAAAUGCGAUACGUAAUGUGAAUUGCAGAAUUCAGUGAAUCAUCGAGUCUUUGAACGCACAUUGCGCCCCCUGGUAUUCCGGGGGGCAUGCCUGUCCGAGCGUCAUUGCUGCCCUCAAGCACGGCUUGUGUGUUGGGCCUCCGUCCUCCUCCCGGGGGCGGGCCCGAAAGGCAGCGGCGGCACCGCGUCCGGUCCUCGAGCGUAUGGGGCUUCGUCACCCGCUCUUGUAGGCCCGGCCGGCGCUUGCCGACACAUCAAUCUUUUUUCCAGGUUGACCUCGGAUCAGGUAGGGAUACCCGCUGAACUUAAGCAUAUCAAUAAGCGGAGGA
rnacentral:misc_RNA from 1 species